UUUGUCCGAUUUCAUUAUGUGAGUCCAAUGAUUCGAUAAAUGUUUUCAAUAUAUCUCACUGUUGUUCUUCUUCAUGUUACGCUAAAUGACUUGUACCUUGACUGUUCUUGAAUCGCUUUUCUUCAAUUUGUUCUUGCGUCUUCAUUUUCUUCUCAUCAUCCUUUGAAAUCGAUUAAUCUUGUUUGUAAUUCCAACUUUGUGAAUCGAUUUUAUUUUAUGAGUUCAAGUUCAAAAUCGAUGAUGAUCAAAGUAAUCACUAUGAAGUCGAAAAUUAGAUCUUGAUGAAAUUAAUCAAGAAUUCUCAAAUUACUAUGAAGAAGUUGUUUAGAACUGAUGUUUGAACAUAUUUUGAUCCAUGAUCUGGUGUUGGAAUCCUCGAUUUUCUGUUUAUUGAUUAUUGGCAUAGAAAAGUCAAUCACAGAAAAAGUCAAACAUGAGUUCUAUGGGUUGAUUCAGGGAAUUGAAAGUAGAAAUCGUUGGAUUUGAGUUGAAUAUGAGAUUUGGAUGAGGAAAUCGAGUCUAAUUUGGGAAUUAAUUUCGAAAAUUCGAUGUGUUCUUGUUCUGGUGUGAAAGGCAGUGACAUAAGUUCUUGUUCGUCACUAGAAAUUGAUUUCAAAAUUGGAAGUCAAAAUGCGUCAUAUGCGAAUUCGAUUUUGAGUUUGAUUAACUAGGAGUCGAUAUUGCGAAGGAUAUGUUGGAGUCGAUGAUUUUAUUGAUUUGGUUUGAGUUCGCAAGUUCGAUCGACGACGAUUGAAGUCGAUUGUUUGGUUUCAUUGGGUUUUGAUAGACAAAUUGUAUUUGGGAAAUAUUUGAAGAGUCACAGGUUGGAAUCAAUUGUUGAUGAAUAAAAAGCAAAGUCGGCAACCUGGAUCAUUAGUCUGGGUCUCAUCUGCGAAUGGUCGAUGACUUGGAUUUUGUAAAUAGAAUUGAUUUUGGUAUCGGUGGUAUGGAUUUCGCAAAUAAGAAGUGAUGUCAAUUUUUGAUUUUGCAUCGAGUUCUUCAUUCGCAUCUGUAAUUAUGGUGUGAAGACCUGUGAAGAUUUGGAGUUCUAUAGGAAUCGCAUCUGGGUCUCAAUUUUGGGUUCGCAUAUUGAUCUUGUUUGGGUUCGCAUCUGCCAUGUUUGUUCAAUUUGCAUUUGUGUGAACCAAAAUCAGGUUUGCAUUUGUGUGAAUGGAGUUCGCAUAUGAGAUCAAAACAUGAGUUCGCAUUUGGUUGAUUGGGGUUAAAAUGCGAUGGUGAUUAAGGUUGAAAUUCAGUUCGCAUGUGGUUACUUGGGAUAAAGAUGUGAAAUUUUCUUAUACAUCGUUCGCAUUCAUGAUUCACAAACGUGCGAAGAGUUAAAGAUGCGAAGUAAGGAACGUGCGAAGUUUUCACUGCAUAUGGUGACGCACGAGUACGCCCAGCGUACCGAAGCGGUUCCCAGCCCCUAUAAAAGGGAUGCGAAGGUUCCGAAGAAAGAGCUCCAUUUCUCCUAACAUUCUUGCGUUCUUGCCUCGUUUUUCGUGCCCGUGCUAACCCGAAGCCCCCGUCACUUUGCUCAAGUCCCGAAGGCCGUUUGUGCUCCCAAGAUUCCCGGGAAUCCCGAGAAAAUCCGCUUUCUCGAGUCGAAGUUCUGCUCGAUUUUCAUCUCGCUUUUUUCCGAUCUUUCAAGUGAGUUCAUACCCCUUAAUUAACCUUUUAAAUAUUCUAUAAUUGGUUUAUAUGCUUGCAAGGGGGGGGGGAUACAAGUAAAACACACGAUUAUUAUCGUGUGUUAUAUAAAGUUUUAUUAUACACUUUUAUUCAACAGAAUCAUAUGUGAUUUAUAACCUUUAUAGGGAAACUUUCGUAUGCAAAAUAUAUCACGAAACAUUAUAUCUUUUGAAAUGAAAAAUGUUGUUAUAUACGUAUAAAUCAAACACUAUGCUUAGAUUUCAUGUAUAUGUGUCCAACUUAGACACUAUGAAAAUUUAUACUUUCAUAACAAGUGAUUCAUUUUCUGGGGAUUUCUAAACAAACAAGACACAUUUUUAGAAAACUAUAAUAGGUAUGGUUUUACAAGAACAUUACUAACUUUUACAUACUAGAAACACGAUUUUCAAGAAGUCACUUUCACAUACAAGAACAAACGAACAUUUUAACACGUAAAUCUGUUUUUAUACUAAGUUUUGUGAGACAUUAACUUCACGUACGUUCGAGUACACAUUUCAAGUCCUGUAUUAUAUACCAAAAUCCCUUGGAGGGGGAGCCUGGUGUUUGUGUAUAGAUCUAUACGGGCUUGACAACCCCGCGCCCUGACUGUUAGCUACAGUACACCAUUUGGGGUGACAAACGUCAGAACAUUCCAACGCCUGAAGAACGUUGUGUAUAGGCAAUCCGAGUCAAUAGCAUGGUUAUAAAACUCACAUGGGGUAUUAAAAAUACAUUGAUUUACGAGUUUUUUCAAACGUAUUGGAAAUUUUAUACGUACAUACAUUUUCUAGAAACAAACAUUGGUCUUAAUAGAAGGCUGCAUUUAUGCUAGUAGAAAAUAUGGGAUUUUCUAGGAACAAACAAACAAAAACAAAACAUUUCAUUUCAUACAAACAUUGUCAUUUAAUACUUAUGAAACUCAUCAGCUUAAAUGUUGAUCUACUCUUUCAAAACUACUUGUAUGUCCCAGGGAUUCAGUAAUUACAGGUAACAAACAACUUUUGAAGAAGGGACGUUGCGGCGCCAGUUUAAAUUCAUAUUUUGGCAUCAUAUUGUAAUUGGUUUUGAACAUGUACCUUUUAACAAUGUAAACUUUCAAUUAUAUAUAUGAUGGUUGUAUUGCUUUCUUUACUAUGUAUUCAUUUGUUACG
rnacentral:lncRNA from 1 species